GAUGAACGCUGGCGGCGUGCCUAAUACAUGCAAGUCGAGCGAACAGACGAGGAGCUCGCUCCUCUGACGUUAGCGGCGGACGGGUGAGUAACACGUGGAUAACCUACCUAUAAGACUGGGAUAACUUCGGGAAACCGGAGCUAAUACCGGAUAAUAUAUUGAACCGCAUGGUUCAAUAGUGAAAGACGGUUUUGCUGUCACUUAUAGAUGGAUCCGCGCCGCAUUAGCUAGUUGGUAAGGUAACGGCUUACCAAGGCAACGAUGCGUAGCCGACCUGAGAGGGUGAUCGGCCACACUGGAACUGAGACACGGUCCAGACUCCUACGGGAGGCAGCAGUAGGGAAUCUUCCGCAAUGGGCGAAAGCCUGACGGAGCAACGCCGCGUGAGUGAUGAAGGUCUUCGGAUCGUAAAACUCUGUUAUUAGGGAAGAACAAAUGUGUAAGUAACUAUGCACGUCUUGACGGUACCCAAUCAGAAAGCCACGGCUAACUACGUG
rnacentral:rRNA from 1 species